UAAAACUCUUGAAACAAACCUAAUUAAAAAACCUCUCUUUCUUCCCCAAAAGCAAACCCGUUAAAACUCCUCAAAAAAACCUAUUUUGCUAGCAGACUAAAGAAUCAAUGAAGAAACAACAAAUCAAGCAAAAGAUUGCUAUCUAUCCUCUCUCAAACGCUGACACAAGCACGACCAUGGGUUUCCUCUCUCAAACGCAGAACCAAGCUCGACCAUGGGUUUCCUCUCUCAAACACAGAAACAAGCUCGACCGUGGGUGCAAACGUUUUCAAUCUCUGACCCGGCCGCCAUAUCAGAUCAUUCUCUCUAGGGAAACACUAAUAGAAAAUCAAAUUCUACAGGUUUUGUAAGAAAAUAUUGUGGAUAUGAAUGGCUUUUUUUUGUGGAGAUAGUAUUGAAUAGCCUCCCAACCCUCCAAAUCUGACAACAAUCCAACAGGAAGGGGUUACUCAGUAUGUGGUUUGACCUAUAAAACUUCAAUGCUGCUAUAUCCUCCUCCUCUCAGGCUGGUGGAAAAUAACCAACCAAUAGUACAAAUGCCAAAGCAAUUCAAACCACAAGUGACAAUUCAAGAAGAGAUGAACAUCAACAGAAGAACCAUAAGUGAAAUAACAAAAGUUAUGUGGGACUCUGGUAAUGAGGUAUAGAAUUCAAAAGCAAUGUGCAACUCACACUAACAUCUGUACUCAGGGAAAACCAAAGGACAUAUUCAGUGUCUACUACGAAGCAACAAAGGAAGAAAAUACAAAAAACACUUUAAAGUUGUCUUUCGAUUUAUUUUAAAUAUUGAUUAAGUAGUUCUUUAAAUUUGUGUUUCAUACAUUUUAUGGAUAAUUGAGGAUAUUAAAGAUUUAAUUCUUCAUU